rnacentral:lncRNA from 1 species
GAUAGAUGAUCCUUCGGACCAUCUAUCGAGUCCUUCGACCAGACCUGCUAUGUUUGGGUAUAAAUACCCAUGCAGUGUGUAAGUGUGAAAAAGAUGCACACAUAGAGAGUUAGAGAAACUCUGCUGAAAAACACACACACACACACUUUAGAGAGUUUGCAAACAGAUUGUAAACCUUGUGCUUGUAACCGUAAACCUUCAUACGUAUUAAUACAGUGGUGUUAAUCGGUGAACUUUGUGUGUUCUUGCGUUUGUUCUUGCUUCAUCCCGGUUUGCCUACUAGCUUGGAUUCCGCACUCGCUAGUGGGUUAGUAUAACAAGGUUUAGGUUGUUCUCGAUCCUCCGAGAAAAGGGACCUACAACAUUCUUGUCGUUGUACAAAACUUUCGCAAGAGUUGUUUUGCCAAUUCCGCCCAGACCAACUAUCGACACAACACUCACAUUUUGAUUACAUGCUUCUUUCCCCAACAAUUUCCUCAGCAAAGCCACUUUAUCCGCUUCCCGACCCAUUACUUUGGACUCAUCAACCAGUGAAGUCUGCUCCAAUGGUAUAUUUGAUCUCUCAACUCUCACAUUCACUUCCAAACCCAACUUAGUUUUCUGAUCAACAAGAUCAUUCAAUUUUUUCGUAAUCUUUUCUCCCUUAGAACCCAACCCAAGAUCACGAAAAAGAUUUCUAAGAGUGGAAUUAGUACAACAACUUGGGAUCAUGAUCUUCCAGAACUUACUAGUGCUGGUACCGGCAUGAGAUUGUUGAUGAAAUUUGCGUAUCAUACCUUCGGUGGUCAAAUCAUCAACAAUAUCGUCUAUGUCGUAAGCCAAAUCCUGGAGCUCGUGUAGCCACAGUUCAACAGCUUUUUGAAAAAUCUGCUUCUGGCCUGCGUCAUCAAGCACAGCGUGGAUCAUCAGCAUAUCAUUCUUCCAUUUUGUCAGCUGAGGUUUGAUUGCUUUAGGUCGACCCAACUUCGAGAAUUCAAUUUUGGCUAACUUCUCAGACAACACUCCCACUAAGAUGUUAACAAUGACUUCAGCCAUUAUAAUUUGGAAUAUGGAAGUUUGUUUAAAAAAUUUGUAGAUGAGAAGUAAUUAAGGAGUAAACCGCGUCUUAUGUAGAUGAUGAAUCCGUGUGCAGUGGGCACGGUAGACUGAGACUUCAUGUGGGUAAUCUUCCCUGCAUUUACAUGAAAAUUUCUUAUUAAUUAUGCAUGUCAAGAUCAAGAAACAAAAAUACAGCAAAACUUGUUAAAUUUUGAGAAAAGUCUAUUGAUCUCAAUGCGGUCUAGUUGUAUGGCUAUGGUGAGCUUGUUUGUUUCAUUCAUUCGGGACCACAUGUGACAUAUCGUCAAGUCAUCCCUUACCCAUUUUGUGGUUUAGACUUAACCGCGGAUGCCGGUCACAGGAGAGAAGCUAAAACUGUUUCCACUCAUGGGUUUAUAG